GUAGGUGGCAAGCGUCGUCCGGAAUUAUUGGGCGUAAAGCGCGCGCAGGCGGGUCCUUUAAGUCUGAUGUGAAAGCCCACGGGCUCAACCGUGGAGGGUCAUUGGAAACUGGGGGACUUGAGUACAGAAGAGGAAAGCGGAAUUCCACGUGUAGCGGUGAAAUGCGUAGAGAUGUGGAGGAACACCAGUGGCGAAGGCGGCUUUCUGGUCUGUAACUGACGCUGAGGCGCGAAAGCGUGGGGAGCAAACAGGAUUAGAUACCCUGGUAGUCCACGCCGUAAACGAUGAGUGCUAAGUGUUAGGGGGUUUCCGCCCCUUAGUGCUGCAGCUAACGCAUUAAGCACUCCGCCUGGGGAGUACGGCCGCAAGGCUG
rnacentral:rRNA from 1 species